CGUGUCCAUGGCCGACGCCA
rnacentral:misc_RNA from 1 species